GCGAACGCUGGCGGCGUGCUUAACCCCUGCAAGUCGAACGGAAAGGCCCCUUUGGGGGUACUCGAGUGGCGAACGGGUGAGUAACACGUGAGUAACCUGCCCUUGACUUCGGGAUAACUUCAGGAAACUGGGGCUAAUACCGGAUAGGAAUCCUUGCUGCAUGGUGGGGGUUGGAAAGCUUCGGCGGUUUUGGAUGGACUCGCGGCUUAUCAGCUUGUUGGUGGGGUAGUGGCUUACCAAGGCUUUGACGGGUAGCCGGCCUGAGAGGGCGACCGGCCACAUUGGGACUGAGAUACGGCCCAGACGCCUACGGGAGGCAGCAGUGGGGAAGAUUGCACAAUGGGCGGAAGCCUGAUGCAGCAACGCCGCGUGCGGGAUGACGGCCUUCGGGUUGUAAACCGCUUUCAGCAGGGGCGAAGCUUGUGGUGACGGUACCUGCAGAAGAAGCACCGGCUAACUACGUG
rnacentral:rRNA from 1 species